GAGAAAAUUAGCUCAGUUACUUGGUUGGGACAACUUAAUUAGAUUUAUACGAAAUUAGGUUGAAUAUCUUCUGAAAAUGACGAAAACAAGGGCUGCCAAAAAACCCACCUCCAACCGAGAAAUCUCUUCAUCUCUCUCAGCCCGCCUCCGACGCAAGCCCUCCGCCAUCGCGACCGCCAUCGAGUUCGUUUUUGCUGCAGCCCUCAGCUAACUAUUUGUCUCAAGCCCGCCGCUGCCAAGCUGCCGUCGUACGUCCAAAAAUUGCAGAUAUGAAGUCAUGGAGGAGACGACAGAAACGUCAAGAAAUCCGUUGAUGUCAAGUUUUUUUCUGCAAACUGAUGAAAAAAACGAUGAACGAAGGCGGUUUGAGUUGAACGAAGAAAGCAGUCGUUGGAUUGGGACGAAGAUAGGCGAAUGAUGAACGAAAGCGAACGAUAAACGAAGGCGCGGUG